UGCUCACCUACCCCUAGAUCCCUGUAUAAGGAGGCGCCCAUUUCUGGCGAAGCGCUUAGGCUUCGGAGCACAACUCCACUGAGCCCUCCAGCGUAAUUAAAGGUUUGUCUCCACCUCUUCAAGUGACUUUCGGAUUCUCAAGUCUUCGAAUUGCAGCAGCAGCGGAUGCGUAUAGCACCGAGCUCUUCACCUUUGCCACAACAGGAUGAAUCUACGUAGAUGGCUUAUUGCCUGGAUGGCCUAAGACCUAAAGAAGGAUGGGUCCGCUUCUGUUCUUCUUCAGCAAAGCUCCAGUCUUCGCCUUCACCUUGGUCGUCAUCUCCUCCUGGCUUCCAGCAUAGACGCUUCAGCUUCCAGUGCAGAUCCAUCAGCCUUUCGGAGUAGACUCUUCACACAUCCGUCGCAGACCCAUCGGCCUCCUGACACAAACUCACACAGGACACUGCAGUGAGCUCCAGAGCUUCGACUGGAUCCUUUGGUCUCCAGGGUCCAGACAGACCCUCUGCCCUCUUCCUCAUCUGACUCUGGCAUGCAGCUCCUGCUUUGGUGGGCCUUCACUUGUGGACUGUGGCUUAUGAACUGAGUGAGUUGUGGACUGUGGGCUUGUGGACUGAGCCAGCUGUCACACCAUAGACCAGAUGCUACUGCUUGCCAGAAAGCCUGGUACUUGUCGCAGAAAUGAGAGGUAGGCUCUGCUCCCAAGGAGCGCACAGAUCCAAAGUGGAAGACUUGGUGUUUGAAAUGGCUGUGGUGAGUCCUCUACCAUUUGUCAUUGCAAGCCAACGAGAUGUUUUCUCUCAGGCAGGACAUCAGGAAUAUCCCCCAACACGCACACCAUGCACACCCAUAUGCACAGGCACCCAUGCGCACACGUGUAUGCGUAAGUCAAGGCCAUAGAUAGGAAUGGAGGGCAUCUCCCAAGCUUUCAACAUGGAUCCUAGAAUGAGAGGGACAUGGCCAGGAAGUAUGUUUCAGGCUUUGCUGCUCUCCUUCUCCAGUAUCUGUCUAGACACUGCUUUAGGUACUUACACACUAUUUAAAAAUACAUAAUAGUAUAUAGUAAUU
ensembl:lncRNA